CAGCUACAUGUUUUCAAAACAUGAAGUCAAAUCUAUUUCUUUUAUUUUUUGUAUGUGUCAGCGUGGAUUGUUCAUCUACAGACACAGUGAGUGAACAAGAGAGCAAAAUCUUCUUGCAACCUGGACAGAUUAUAGCACUGAUCUGUUCUCAAGGCUUCAUUACUGUUAAAGAUGGGCAGCAUUUAAAGAAAGUUUUCUGUCAUACCAAUGAGUGCCCUAAGCAACUUCCAGGGGA